rfam:Slackia piriformis YIT 12062 genomic scaffold supercont1.1, whole genome shotgun sequence.
GGGGGCGACUGGUUUCGACAUGGUACGUUUGAACUGAGGAGCAGGUCGUGGUCUCCUCGCCACGUUAAACAGGGGUACCGUCAAGUUAAUUGGCAAAGCUAAAACUCAGAGCGCUCCGGCGCUCGCCAUGGCUGCUUAAUUUACGCAGCCCGUCAACCUCGGGUUAUCCCCGGCUCGAGCGCGACGUCAUGUUAGGGGAUUGCGUCAAAGCACGUAGCCUGUAUGGCUUUGGCUAAGAUCGAACGGGCUAGAACCGACAACGCGUGUCCGUAGGCUGCGUCGGUUUGAAUCUCGACCACGGAAUAAGCUUGUAGAGCCUGAGGGAUGAUGUAGUAUGGACCGGAGUUCGAUUCUCCGCGCCUCCACCA